GUAGGUGGCAAGCGUUGUCCGGAAUUAUUGGGCGUAAAGCGCGCGCAGGCGGCUUCCCAAGUCCCUCUUAAAAGUGCGGGGCUUAACCCCGUGAUGGGAAGGAAACUGGGAAGCUGGAGUAUCGGAGAGGAAAGUGGAAUUCCUAGUGUAGCGGUGAAAUGCGUAGAGAUUAGGAAGAACACCGGUGGCGAAGGCGACUUUCUGGACGAAAACUGACGCUGAGGCGCGAAAGCGUGGGGAGCAAACAGGAUUAGAUACCCUGGUAGUCCACGCCGUAAACCGAUGGAUACUAGGUGUAGGAGGUAUCGACCCCUCCUGUGCCGGAGUUAACGCAAUAAGUAUCCCGCCUGGGAAGUACGAUCGCAAGAAU
rnacentral:rRNA from 1 species